UACGUAGGGUGCAAGCGUUAAUCGGAAUUACUGGGCGUAAAGCGUGCGCAGGCGGUUAUGUAAGGCAGGUGUGAAAUCCCCAGGCUUAACCUCGGAACUGCCUUUGAUACUGCAAAUCUCGAGUCCGGAAGAGGUGAGUGGAAUUCCUAGUGUAGAGGUGAAAUUCGUAGAUAUUAGGAAGAACACCAGUGGCGAAGGCGGCUCACUGGUCCGGUACUGACGCUGAGGUGCGAAAGCGUGGGGAGCAAACAGG
rnacentral:rRNA from 1 species